CUCAGAGUGAACGCUGGCGGUAGGCCUAACACAUGCAAGUCGAACGGCAGCACAGUAAGAGCUUGCUCUUAUGGGUGGCGAGUGGCGGACGGGUGAGGAAUACAUCGGAAUCUACUUUUUCGUGGGGGAUAACGUAGGGAAACUUACGCUAAUACCGCAUACGACCUACGGGUGAAAGCAGGGGAUCUUCGGACCUUGCGCGAUUGAAUGAGCCGAUGUCGGAUUAGCUAGUUGGCGGGGUAAAGGCCCACCAAGGCGACGAUCCGUAGCUGGUCUGAGAGGAUGAUCAGCCACACUGGAACUGAGACACGGUCCAGACUCCUACGGGAGGCAGCAGUGGGGAAUAUUGGACAAUGGGCGCAAGCCUGAUCCAGCCAUACCGCGUGGGUGAAGAAGGCCUUCGGGUUGUAAANACNGUUUGUUGGGAAAGAAAUCCCAGCUGGUUAAUACCCGGUUGGGAUGACGUACCCAAGAUAAGC
rnacentral:rRNA from 1 species